UGUGCCUACGGGGGGUAGCAGUGGGGAAUAUUGCACAAUGGGCGCAAGCCUGAACGAGCAAUGCCGCGUGAACGAGGAAGGUCUUCGGAUCGUAAAGUUCUGUUGAAGGGGAAAAAGAGCGGAGAGAGGAAAUGGUCUCCGAUUGAUAUUACCCUUCGAGGAAGUCACGGCUAACUACGUGCCAGCAGCCGCGGUAAUACGUAGGUGGCGAGCGUUAUCCGGAAUGAUUGGGCGUAAAGGGUGCGUAGGCGGCCUGCUAAGUCUGGAGUGAAAGGUACCGGCUCAACCGGUACAGGCUCUGGAAA
rnacentral:rRNA from 1 species